UGUCCCUGUUCUGGGCAGUGUCAUCUACUUCAUGGUACUCAUCUUAAUAUAUCAACCAGGGGCAAAACAAUCCCAUGUUUAUCCCAACAUGGCUUUUGAGCUGGGCCUAUGCCUCUUCAUGCCUUGGACACACAU